CACCGUCUUCUCCGGCGGCCGUUUCAUGCUUUCCCUGGCCGCUUCUCAGGCUCCUGACUACUCUUUCCACAAGAACCGUGAUGAAUUAGUUGAAUAGCGUAUCAACAAAUGGUGAAUCAAACUUCUCCAUAGAUGGCAUUGAAAUCAAGACUGUAAGAUUAUUCUGUAUCGCAGCCUUUUUCACAUAUGCUUGUUCUGUUUUCUCUUCUCGAUGUUUUGAGCCUCUUACUGUUUCCUGUUGCUAUGUUUGGUCAUUAAAGUGUAUAGACUAUUGUUUUAUUGAGUCCCUUGUCCAUUUUUUACC